UUUCGCCUGGAAGAAGACAGGAAAUCGAGCUUGAUUAAUUCCCUCUGGACUUCAUCCUUGGACCGGUGUAUACUGUAAGGAAUGAAAUUUCGAGUAUUGAAACGAGAAAUGUCGAAAGUUCAGACUCUCGAAUAGCAAUGUUUGAAAUUCCAGAAAUAUGUAAUCGCGAGGAUAAGAAUGGCAAAAUUUAGGCACCAAAAAGCUUAGAAGUGUUAGAAAAGUUUAGAAUUCUAAAGUCUAGGAUUGCAAAAAUUUGGAAGCCCAAAGCUCAGAAUUGUAAAAGCUUAGAAUUUCAAAGGUAAAAAUUGUAAAUGUUUGGUAUCUUAAAACUUACAAUUGUGAAAGUUAAAAAUCGCAUAGUUGAGAAUAAUGAAAAUUGAAAUUCCAAAUUGUAAUACCAAAUUUCAAUAUCCUAGAAGCUUACAGUCCCAAGAAGAAUUCUCGAUGUUAUUGAAACUCCAAAUAUUGUAACAGGAAAUACUAAAAAUUUCAAAGCUUGCCUCUAUACAUUGGGAUGAAAAGUAAAAGAAUGAGAGCUGAAGGAUCCAUGUUCCGGCGCAAGCAAGUAAAAAGAAUGCACGUCGAGACGAAGGGAGAAACGUCAUGGGAUAUCAGUUAAGCAAAGUGAAAAAGAAACAUGGAAGAGCGGUAUUCGCGGUUGCAGCGCUGAAAACGGACCAAUCGUCGUCUUCGGGACAGUUAGCGUGUCUCGAUAUCUUUAGUCACCUGAAGUUAUGGUAUAUCGUCGCCAUUUGGUUUGCACUAGGUCGCCUUGUACUCUGUCAAUCCUGGCUAAGAUACUGGGAUGCAAAGAAACUAACGAAGACACGUUCCCCCCUUGCUACGAUAUCGACAGAAGCUGUUUUUGCUCCGAGAAACCAUCAUAAAUCUCAUAAAGACUUUAAUUUUAAGCUGGAGAGAGAUACCAAAAAAUUGGCAACUUUAUUUUCACCUUUGUUUAAGAAGACUAUGGAUGUAUAAAUUAAUGAUGAAAUUAGGAUAAGAGAUCAGUCAGCUUGAACAAUAAGACAGGUUCCAUCGCAGAUCUCUCAAUUUCCAUUAACUGAACAACGGCAGAAGCUUAAUUUAUCCUUAGAAACCAUGUCAUGAUAAUUUCUUCUAUGUUCUAUCACAAAUAUUCUCAAUUCUCAUCUUUAUUCAAGAUAAUACGAAAGAUCCAGCAAACGUGCUAAACAUGAAUUAGGAAACUAAGUAACCUGAACAAAGAAGAGAUAAAUUGUUUCAUGUAAACAAAUGCAGCUUCCAGAAGCUUCGUAGAAACGUUAGAUCCCCUGUUUGCUCACCUAUCAAUUUAUAAACAUUGUUUGGCUGACGACAAACCGAGUCAAGUGAGGAAAGAUGUUUACCUGAAGGACUAGCUCUAGGAAUGACACAGCUACUUAACAUGGUUUCUGACAUUCGAAUCGGAGGACCACUUCUUCAUGGGGGUCUGUUUAAUUACGGGACUACUUUAAACAAACGCGAGCUAGUUUCUAUAAACAUGUGCUCUUGGCUGAAGAAAGGUACCGACGGAGACUUUGCUACUUGCUAUCAAGCAUUGCUACUUCGAUAUUCGGAUAUGUUUAGAGAUGUGCAAUACACCAUUCAUCUUGAUAACAAUGUUUUUGUAUCGGAACUGAAGCGCUCAAGUAGAAGAAACGAGUCGAUAUUUAUUUUCACAUAAAAAUUGAAUAUGUUUGAAAGAAUAUUAAAAAUUGAAAAAUUCGAUUUAUUAUCAAAUUGUCAUAUUACUAUAUUCUUAGUAAUUUGUUAACUUUCAAUUGUUUAAUUUAUUUCAAAAACAAAUUCUUUAUAUUGGGCCAGAUUAUUAAGAUUUCAGCUCCGAAGAUUCUAAGAUUUUACUUAUUUCAAUAUCUGAGUUUCAAUGUUAGAAUCAAAGAGUUUGGAAUAAAAAGAACAAAGCGAUACUGAUUACAUA